rnacentral:rRNA from 1 species
GAGGAAUACAUGGGUAACCUGCCCUUGAGAAUGGAAUAACCCGCCGAAAGGUGAGCUAAUACCGUAUACGCUUGUUGUCCUGCGGGGUGGCAAGGAAAGCUGUACCGAGGGUAUGGCACUCAAGGAGGGGCUCAUGUCCUAUCAGCUUGUUGGUAGGGUAACGGCCUACCAAGGCAACGACGGGUAGCUGGUCUGAGAGGAUGAUCAGCCACACUGGCACUGAGAUACGGGCCAGACUCCUACGGGAGGCAGCAGUGAGGAAUAUUGCGCAAUGGGCGAAAGCCUGACGCAGCGACGCCGCGUGGGGGAUGAAGGUUUUCGAAUUGUAAACCCCUUUCAGGAGGAAAGAGAAGGCGGGUUACCGUCUGGACGGUACCUCCAGAAGAAGCCACGGCUAACUUCGUGCCAGCAGCCGCGGUAAUACGAAGGUGGCGAGCGUUGUUCGGAUUUACUGGGCGUAAAGAGCACGUAGGCGGUUAG